GCCCUAGAAGAACCCUAGAGCAUGAGGAAGAGGAGGAGAAAAUAUGAGAGAGGGAGAGAGAGAGUAAUUAGGGAGAAAAGGCUUCUAUUCUGAUUUCAUUCCAUCAAAAUGAUAUACAAAAUUAUAUAUAUACAUGGUCAAUUUGACCCAAACCAAAAACUCCCUCUGUUAACCCAAUUUGAUGUAAUUUUCAAGCUCAUGUAUACCCAUGUCUUGCCUUGCACACAUCCAGUGGACUAAAUCC
rnacentral:lncRNA from 1 species